rnacentral:rRNA from 1 species
AUUGAACGCUGGCGGCAGGCCUAACACAUGCAAGUCGAGCGGUAACACAGAGGAGCUUGCUUCUUGGGUGACGAGCGGCGGACGGGUGAGUAAUGCCUGGGGAUCUGCCCAGUCGAGGGGGAUAACUACUGGAAACGGUAGCUAAUACCGCAUACGCCCUACGGGGGAAAGCAGGGGACCUUCGGGCCUUGCGCGAUUGGAUGAACCCAGGUGGGAUUAGCUAGUUGGUGAGGUAAUGGCUCACCAAGGCGACGAUCCCUAGCUGGUCUGAGAGGAUGAUCAGCCACACUGGAACUGAGACACGGUCCAGACUCCUACGGGAGCAGCAGUGGGGAAUAUUGCACAAUGGGGAAACCCUGAUGCAGCCAUGCCGCGUGUGUGAAGAAGGCCUUCGGGUUGUAAAGCACUUUCAGCGGGGAGGGAAGGGUCACGUAGUUAAUACCUAGUGGGCAUUGACGUUACUCGCAGAAGAAGCACCGGGCUAAC